ACGAACGCUGGCGGCGUGCUUCACACCUGCAAGUCGAACGGUGAAGCGCCUUCCUUUUUGGUGGGUGUGGAUGAGUGGCGAACGGGUGAGUAACACGUGAGUAACCUGCCCCCUUCUUCUGGAUAACCGCAUGAAAGUGUGGCUAAUACGGGAUAUUCUGGGUCUGUCGCAUGAUGGGUCUGGGAAAGAUAUUGUUUCGGUGGGGGAUGGGCUCGCGGCCUAUCAGCUUGUUGGUGGGGUGAUGGCCUACCAAGGCGGUGACGGGUAGCCGGCCUGAGAGGGUGGACGGUCACACUGGGACUGAGACACGGCCCAGACUCCUACGGGAGGCAGCAGUGGGGAAUAUUGCACAAUGGGCGCAAGCCUGAUGCAGCGACGCCGCGGGAGGGAUGGAGGCCUUCGGGUUGUGGACCUCUUUCGCCAGUGAAGCAGGCCUGCCUCGUUUGUGGGUGGGUUGACGGUAGCUGGAUAAGAAGCGCCGGCUAACUACGUG
rnacentral:rRNA from 1 species